AACCGCACGGGAUAAUCAUUUUCCCGUGCGGUCAUGUUAAGUGGACCGCACGGGAUAAUCGAUUAUCCUGUGCGGUC
rnacentral:pre_miRNA from 21 species